rnacentral:tRNA from 1 species
GCCUAGUUAGCUCAGUUGGUAGUGCGUCUGCCUUGUAAGCGCUAGGCUGCGGGUUCGAUUCCCGCCCGGGGCG